rnacentral:rRNA from 1 species
GACGAACGCUGGCGGCGUGCCUAAUACAUGCAAGUAGAACGCUGACUACUUUAGCUUGCUAGAGUGGAAGGAGUUGCGAACGGGUGAGUAACGCGUAGGUAACCUGCCUACUAGCGGGGGAUAACUAUUGGAAACGAUAGCUAAUACCGCAUAACAGUGUUUAACACAUGUUAGAUGCUUGAAAGAUGCAAUUGCAUCACUAGUAGAUUGACCUGCGGUGUAGUAGCUAGUUGGUGGGGUAACGGCACACCAAGGCGACGAUACAUAGCCGACCUGAGAGGGUGAUCGGCCACACUGGGACUGAGACACGGCCCAGACUCCUACGGGAGGCAGCAGUAGGGAAUCUUCGGCAAUGGGGGCAACCCUGACCGAGCAACGCCGCGUGAGUGAAGAAGGUUUUCGGAUCGUAAAGCUCUGUUGUAAGAGAAGAACGUGUGUGAGAGUGGAAAGUUCACACAGUGACGGUAACUUACCAGAAAGGGACGGCUAACUACGUGCCAGCCGCCGCGGUAA